CCUACGGGAGGCUGCAGUGAGGAAUAUUGGGCAAUGGACGAGAGUCUGAACCAGCCAAGUAGCGUGAAGGAUGACUGCCCUAUGGGUUGUAAACUUCUUUUAUAUGGGAAUAAAACGUUCCACGUGUGGGAUUUUGUAUGUACCAUAUGAAUAAGGAUCGGCUAACUCCGUGCCAGCAGCCGCGGUAAUACGGAGGAUCCGAGCGUUAUCCGGAUUUAUUGGGUUUAAAGGGAGCGUAGGUGGAUUGUUAAGUCAGUUGUGAAAGUUUGCGGCUCAACCGUAAAAUUGCAGUUGAAACUGGCAGUCUUGAGUACAGUAGAGGUGGGCGGAAUUCGUGGUGUAGCGGUGAAAUGCUUAGAUAUCACGAAGAACUCCGAUUGCGAAGGCAGUUCACUGGACUGCAACUGACACUGAGGCUCGAAAGUGUGGGUAUCAAACAGGAUUAGAUACCCCUGUAGUC
rnacentral:rRNA from 1 species